rnacentral:rRNA from 1 species
AUUGAACGCUGGCAGCAUGCCUUACACAUGCAAGUCGAACGGUAACGGGCCUUCGGGUGCCGACGAGUGGCGAACGGGUGAGUAAUGCAUCGGAACGUACCCAUCAGUGGGGGAUAACUCUCCGAAAGGAGGGCUAAUACCGCAUAUUCUGUGCGCAGGAAAGCGGGGGACCGCAAGGCCUCGCGCUGAUGGAGCGGCCGAUGUCAGAUUAGCUAGUUGGUGGGGUAAAGGCCGACCAAGGCGACGAUCUGUAGCGGGUCUGAGAGGAUGAUCCGCCGCACUGGGACUGAGACACGGCCCAGACUCCUACGGGAGGCAGCAGUGGGGAAUGUUGGACAAUGGGGGCAACCCUGAUCCAGCCAUGCCGCGUGAGUGAAGAAGGCCUUCGGGUUGUAAAGCUCUUUCGGCCGGGAAGAAAUCGCAUCUCCUAAUACGGGGUGUGGAUGACGGUACCGGAAUAAGAAGCACCGGCUAACUACGUGCCAGCCGCCGCCGUAA